rnacentral:rRNA from 1 species
GAUGAACGCUGGCGGCGUGUCUAAGGCAUGCAAGUCGAACGGACUGUUAUUUGUAGCAAUACUUAGAACAGUUAGUGGCAAACGGGUGCGUAACACAUUGGUAACCUGCCUCAAAGUCGGGCAUAAUCCCGCGAAAGUGGGACUAAUUCCACGAUGGUCAUCGAAGGUGAGAUUCCUUCGAUGUAAAGUCGCAAGACGCUUUGAGAGGGGCCUAUGGCCUAUCAGCUAGUUGGUGAGGUAACGGCUCACCAAGGCAACGACGGGUAGCUGGUCUGAGAGGAUGGCCAGCCACACUGGAACUGAGACACGGUCCAGACUCCUACGGGAGGCAGCAGUGGGGAAUCUUGCGCAAUGGGCGAAAGCCUGACGCAGCGACGCCGCGUGGGCGAAGAAGGCCUCGG